GCCAUCAGCUGGACCAAAUGCCUCCCCGAGACAUUCGUAUCUCCCGAGCUUCUGUUUAGGCAUCCGGGCACUGUUACCAGGACAAAGGCAUCGAUCUCGGCUGAGAGAACGCUGAGAUGUAUUGACAGAGAGGUUUGCAUCGAUCCAGCAGGAAGUAAGGUCGGUGGCCUCCUGGGCAGGUGCGCAAACCAACCCCUCGCCUAAGGCAGGGUCAGGAUCCACUCCUCCUGGCCUCAGUCAGUGGCCUGGCCCCCACUGUCCACGCUUGAGGUUAUUCCAGCCAGCAAGGCAGGGAGGCCAGUGAACCAGUGAAAAAGCCCUGGUCUUGGGGGCCCAGGAGCCCAGGUCACGGG
rnacentral:lncRNA from 1 species